GGUUAUCACCAUUGCUAUAAAUAGUUGCUGUUUCCUGCAUCACCCUCUCCACUGGACCCAGGCAUAUUGUUGCAGUGCUGUGCUCUCAACUCCCACGCCUCUUCACCCAAUCCCACGCCCAGCCACAACCCCGCAAUUGAACUUCCCUUUCCUUGAGGUGAGUUUCUGUCAGCAAAUCUCCUCAGCCUUCUGCACGUGAACUUAUGGUGACCACUUACACCCACCUCCAGAGGAAUCAAGCUCCCAAGGCUCCCAACACAGUGGGUACAGAGAUGGUGGAGUAGAAGACCAUGCACUCAUCUCCUGCGAGAACACCAAAAUCACAAACAGCUGCUGAACAACCAUAGACAGGAGAAUGCUGGAACCCACCAAAAAAAAAGAUACCCCGCAUCCAAGGGCAAAGGAGAAGCCGCAACAAAUGGUAAGAGGGGGCAAUUGCAUUUAAAAUCAAACCUCAUACCCGCCAGAGAUGCUUGGAGGGCACAGACAAAACCUUGUGCGCACCAGGAGGAGGGAAAAGAGCAGGACCCCAUAAGAGACUGAGACAGACCUGCCUUUGACUGUUUGAGGGGCUCCUGCAGAGGCAUGAGUCAGCAGUGGCCUGCCAUGGGGACAAAGACUCUGGCAACAGCAGUCCUAGAAGGCACAGUGUGUGCAUAAGUCUUCUUAAAGAAGGUCACCACUAGUCCCAAUAUAGAACCGGGGUGGGCGACUCACAAACUUGAGAACAAUUACACCAAAGAAUUUCUCACACUGCCAUGAAAGUUCUAAGCCCCACAGCAGACUUCCCAACCUGGGGAUCUAGCAAAGGACUGAGUAUCACCAGGAAUCUGACUUUGAAGGUCCACAGGAUUUCAUUACAGGACUUCCAGAGGACUGGGGAAACAGACUCUUGGAGGGCAUGAACAAAACUUGUGCACACCAGGACCCAGAAAAAAGUAGCAUGACCCACAAGAGACUGAGCCAGACUUGCCUGUGUGCUUAACAGUCUCUGGCAGAGGUGUGGAUUGACAGUGGACUGCCCCAGAGUCAGGAGCACUGACUACAAAGGACUUGGGAGGCCCAAGGUCAGGCAGGCUUAACUCCUUUUGCCAACCCCUAUCAUAGUCUGACCUCAGGCCAAACUAGUGGGAGGGAACACAGCCUCACCCAUCAGCAAAAAAUUGGAUUAAAGACUUACUAAUCAUGACCUUGCCCACCAGAACAAGACCCAGAUUUCCCACAGCCACUCCCUCCGAUCAGGAAGCUUGCACAAGCUUGCAAUGAAAAAUCAAACCUCAUACCCGCCAGAGAUGCUUGGAGGGCACAGACAAAACCUUGUGCGCACCAGGAGGAGGGAAAAGAGCAGGACCCCAUAAGAGACUGAGACAGACCUGCCUUUGACUGUUUGAGGGGCUCCUGCAGAGGCAUGAGUCAGCAGUGGCCUGCCAUGGGGACAAAGACUCUGGCAACAGCAGUCCUAGAAGGCACAGUGUGUGCAUAAGUCUUCUUAAAGAAGGUCACCACUAGUCCCAAUAUAGAACCGGGGUGGGCGACUCACAAACUUGAGAACAAUUACACCAAAGAAUUUCUCACACUGCCAUGAAAGUUCUAAGCCCCACAGCAGACUUCCCAACCUGGGGAUCUAGCAAAGGACUGAGUAUCACCAGGAAUCUGACUUUGAAGGUCCACAGGAUUUCAUUACAGGACUUCCAGAGGACUGGGGAAACAGACUCUUGGAGGGCAUGAACAAAACUUGUGCACACCAGGACCCAGAAAAAAGUAGCAUGACCCACAAGAGACUGAGCCAGACUUGCCUGUGUGCUUAACAGUCUCUGGCAGAGGUGUGGAUUGACAGUGGACUGCCCCAGAGUCAGGAGCACUGACUACAAAGGACUUGGGAGGCCCAAGGUCAGGCAGGCUUAACUCCUUUUGCCAACCCCUAUCAUAGUCUGACCUCAGGCCAAACUAGUGGGAGGGAACACAGCCUCACCCAUCAGCAAAAAAUU
rnacentral:lncRNA from 1 species